GGGUCAGUAGGCUGGUCGUGCCACCGGUACGUACUGGUCUCACUGAUUCCUCCUUCCUGAAGAACCGUAAUGCCAUUAAUUUGGCGUUGCGGGGAAACAGGACUGUCACUUUGAAAAAAUUUGAGUGUUUAAAGCAAGCUAACGCUUGAAUACAUUAGCAUGGAAUAAUGAAAUAGGACGAUCGAUCCUAUUUUGUUGGUUUCUAGGAUUGACGUA
rnacentral:rRNA from 1 species